rnacentral:misc_RNA from 1 species
CGCACAUUGCGCCCUUUGGCAUUCCGAGGGGCAUGCCCGUUCGAGCGUCAUUAAAUCCAAUCAAGCCCGGCUUGGUAUUGGGCCGCGGGGAGCCCGCGCCCUAAUUUCGCCGGCUGGCCGUCGCCCGUCUUAGCGUUGUGACUUGUUAUUCGCUACCGAUGAGAGACGCGACCACGCCGUUAAACACCCGAAUUUCAAUCGAAAUUUGAUUAAGGUUGACCUCGGAUCGGGUAGGAAUACCCGCUGAACUUAA